rnacentral:misc_RNA from 1 species
AAACCUUUCCUUCAUCUGUUCCAUAUCUGAAUCAAACCCCAAAAAGAGAAAUUGAAGAUCCAAAUGAAUGUUAACCCAAGAAAAUCCUAUCUAAAAUCUACAGGAUCUAUCAGGCUGGUCUUACAUUGAUUUGCUAAAUGCAGAGGAAUUGGACAGAAAGUGGAACAUUGAAAGUAAUGCAACGGACUGGAAAGAAAUAUUUAGAAACAUUAAAGUUGGAUAAGGACAUGCCUGCAUUUUGUUUAUCUUUGGCUUGAGCAACAGGAGCAUCAUCCUUGCUUAACCUUGACUUAGGAUCCUUUUCGUUCCCAUUAGACACGCUUGCACUCUGUUGUUUCUCCGAUUGGUCUCUCAGCUGUUCGAAACUACAGCUGUCAUCAACGCUCAGACUCUUCACAUGACGACCUCCCGAAUUCUCAUUCAUCCCUUUGAAAUGAA